ensembl:lncRNA
CCUACGACCAGGAGCUGCUUUUCUUCUCUGUCUGGGCCAUAGGAGGCUGACAGCCCCAGGCCUUGCUCCCAAGGGGCCCCGAUCUGGGGGAGAGAAGAGGAGCAGCCCAGGCCCUGCCCUCACGGAGCUGCCAGUCCCUUUACAUUGUCUCCUGCUCUGCCUUGUGCCUAGCCUGUGCUGGGUCUCCUGUGAAGGCUCUGCCGGGCCUCUUACCAAGUCUGUGGGCUUGGGCCUCAGAGCCUGUGGCUUUUCCUGCAAGCAGCUCUGUGUAUGCCCCUCCUCUGAGCGUCCCAGGUCAAGGCUCCUUCCUGAGAGGGCCUGGAGGAUGGAGGCCUGCCCUGGGUGGGGGGCUUCUGUCCCUCCAAGCUUGGCUAGGGGGAGAUGGGCAGGCAUUAAGGGGCAGCCCCCUGCCCAAGCACUCCAGAUCACAGUGACCUCCUGUUCUGGGCUCUGAGCACCAAGGGGAUGCUGGCCUCGGGCCCAUGGUGGGAAAGGGCAGCCCCUUCCCUCCUCCUUCUUCUUUGCUUCCCCAGGGCUCAAGUCAAUCUCCAGCUGAUGCCCAGGGCACUGACCCGGAGGAUCGGUCCUCUGGGUGUCCUUAUACAAAUAAACACCCUGUUCCUUCUUCCUGGGCACGGAAAGUCCUGGCACACUUGGGCCCCAGGCUGGGAGAGAAGGGAGAGGCCAGAGGAGGAAACCGAGGCUCCGUUCAAGAGAUGGCUCACUUCUCAGACCCUCUAAGAGACGACCUCAUGGCCUCAGCCACAUUCUCCUCCAGGCUUUCCCUUCCUCUCUCGCUGCCAAAUUGCAGGUCAGGGCCAGAGGUGCCUCCAAAGGCCCCAAGCCUCCGUGACCCUGGCUCGGAGCCCCAGAGGCGCCUUUGAUGUCCCUGCCUGGGCUAAGGGUAAAUAUUGAUCCUCUCUUAUCUUCUGGGCUGGCCUGCUCUGUAUCUCCAAUCAAUCAAUUCUUUACGGGCUUCAGCUAAGGCUCAAACCUUUCUCAAAACAAAACUAGCUUUCAUGCCCUUUAAUCUUUAAAAUGCCCCAGCCAGGCCCUCUUGGGGAGGGACAGCGGCAGGAGACUAGCUGGUACCAUUUCCCAGAAGACCAGCCAUGCCCACAGCCCAUGCUUUCCCCACUGCCGGAGCAACACUCCUCCCACUCACAUUUGAUCUUGUUCACCCUCUUCUCUAAAUCCUUCCAUGGCUCCCUAUUACCUACUGACUACAAUUCACUUUCCUUAGCCUGAUAUUUCAGGCUUCCACUCUAGUACCUCCUUUGUCAGCCUUAUUCCAUACAGCUGCCAGCCACACAUUUUAGGCUCUGGUCCAAAUGGACAAUUCUUUUGUCCCAGAGCUUCCUCUCUCCUUUUCCACUUCCAUGCUUUUCUCACACCGUUCGCUGGGCCUGGAACGUUUUCCUUCCCUAGCUUCACCUCUGAGUUCAAGCCGGUAGCUUUGGAGCUGGAGGGGCCUGAGAGAACAUUAGACCCUCCCUCUCAUUUGACAGAUGACCUGGUCAAUCCUUCUCCAUUCCUGGAAGCCCCACUGAAAUGUCGCCUCUUGGGGAAGCCUUCCUGAGCUGUGGACUCUUGUCUGCUCAGUGGCACAUUUCUCAGAUGCCCCUGGUAUGGAGGCGACCCUGUGCCCAGGGAGGGCCAAUUCUGGACUCUCUUCCCAGCUGGCAAGUUUGGAAUUCAGGCCCUGCUGUGGAGCCUGGCCCAGCCUGGCUAAAUUCAGGCAGGCUGGCACCAGGGUAGGGGUAGUGGUGGGGACUUUCUGGUCACAGCAGCCCCUAACUCACAGGAGGCUUCUGCCUGUGUCCUGGGACGGAGAGAAAGAAUACAUGGAUUGGAGGGCCGAAUUCCAUGUGUCUGUCUCUCUCGUGUUCAACAGACUCAGAGCUGAAGGGUUAAGCUCAUUGUCCAAACUCCAUAUUCCUGCCUCACUCUCUAGGGCUCAGUGCCCAGCACCCAGGGCCCGUUCCGGGCUCUGAACACGGCAGGUGCUAGCUAAUAAAAGUCUCAGGAGCCCCUUUCCUCCUCA